GUUAGAUGUUAUUGUGGGUCUUCUAUAUCCUGUAAUUUCCUUGCAGGAGACAUCAAAUAAAGAUUUGUCAGCAUUGGCAAAGGCAGCUUUUGGAUUGCUUAAAUGGAGGGUCUUCUGGGAACCCCAUCUGCAGAAAGUUAUAUCUGUAAUUCUCUCUUCAGCUGGUGAUUCUAAUUGGAGAACAAGAUCUGCUACCUUGACAUAUCUUCGAUCAUUCAUGUACAGGCACACGUACAUUCUCA
rnacentral:misc_RNA from 1 species